rnacentral:rRNA from 1 species
ACUCAAAGGAAUAGACGGGGGCCCGCACAAGCGGUGGAGUAUGUGGUUUAAUUCGACGCAACGCGAAGAACCUUACCAGGGCUUGACAUCCUCUGACGACCCAAGAGAUUGGGAGUUCUGGCUUCGGUCAGACAGAGAGACAGGUGGUGCAUGGUUGUCGUCAGCUCGUGUCGUGAGAUGUUGGGUUAAGUCCCGCAACGAGCGCAACCCUUAUCUUUAGUUGCCAUCAGGUAAUGCUGGGCACUCUAGAGAGACUGCCGGUGACAAACCGGAGGAAGGUGGGGAUGACGUCAAAUCAUCAUGCCCCUUAUGUCCUGGGCUACACACGUACUACAAUGGCCGGUACAAAGGGCGGCGAAGGGGUGACCUGGAGCAAAUCCCAACAAAACCGGUCUCAGUUCGGAUUGUAGUCUGCAACUCGACUACAUGAAGUCGGAAUCGCUAGUAAUCGCAGGUCAGCAUACUGCGGUGAAUACGUUCCCGGGCCUUGUACACACCGCCCGU